GUUGGACUCUGGAGCGGCUGCGUUACUUUAAGCAAGUCACUCUGAGAUUCAGUUUCUCCAUCUAUAAAUUGAGGACAGUUAACGCUAGCCCGCAGGAUCAAUAUAUAUGUAUUACAGAUGCACCAGCCUAGUUAAAAUGUAAUGAUAUCAUUGCUAUUACUCACCUCUUUCAAAUAUAUCCAUAGUUCUCUUAAAACCUGGGGAUUUUUAGAAAAGCCACAUAAGAAGAGAUAAGUAAAGAAAACAUAGAAGGAAUAGAUGUACUGUCACCACGUGGCUUUCUCAAGCUGCACAUGGAAAUAGAUGAGUCUGAUCUUGUACAUUCCACUUCCAGCCCUGAGGUGGCACAGACAGGGCGGCAGCUUGGAGUAGAAGCAGCCGCUGCUCUCAGGGCCAGAGCCACCAGAAGAAGACUUGAACACAGGGGAGGAGGAGAAGGUGAGGUGGGGGCACUCCAGAAGCUUCUAGAUCCUUUGAUGGGAGAGAAGAGGUUAUGAGCCCUCUCCAAACAGAAGAUCCAACUGCACACUGCCACUGGCUUUGAUCCACCUCUUCAACUCUCAUCGGUUAAGAGUCGAGGUGUGAUACUUAAUAAUAGCUUAAAGGGCCAUCAGUCAGAGAGAGAUGCUCAUUGGGGUGAGAGGCCAGGCGAUGAAGAUGCACACCCCAGCCUCCACCACCUACUGAGACCCCGAGAGUCUGUGGUGGUCUGUGUUCUCAGGCGGAUGUGGCCAUGACAGCCAGUGGUUGCUGAGGGAACAGCGCGGCUCUGCUCCUCUUGGUUCUUGCAUUAUUCCACGUUUCAGUUCUAUUCAAAGGAAAGUGUGCGAAAUUUCCCUGUUCUUCCCCCACGGAGCUACAAAUGCGGCUGGGUGAGAGGGUUGCCAGGAAAAUCCGGGGAACGAUGACAGGAGAAGGCCACAGCCGUUCCGGGUGGAAAAGUUCUCCAGUGGGCUGCUCAGAACAGAUGGCAGAUAAUUGACAUCUGAUGGCAAAGUCCUGCCCCAAGAGCGAGCGUCCCAACCUCAGGGACCAGCUGGGGGAUGCUGUGCUUGGAACCAAGAACAGAGCCUGGGCUGCAAUUCACCCAAGAACGCCUGUUCCCAGGGCCCGGAAGCCCAGGCUUCCACGCCGCCCGCUCAAACCUCUGAUGGUCUAGAUUUCUUAACAGCAGUGCACAAGGAUUCUUCGGGCUGAAUACAGGCUACACUUGGUCCCUUUAUUUCUUUCUGGUGAAAGCUCAGCAUCUGUUUUAUGAAAAAAUCAAACGACAGGAGGGGAAGUUAAGGGAGAAGAGGGAAGGAAAAGGACCAGCACUAGAUUGCCAUUGAUUGCUUUGGAUGAAAGAACAAUAUUGCUCCUGAGAGUGGGGUAUCAAAAUUGUGCUUAGACCAAAAAAUAUUGAAAACACUUGUUGCUUUUAUGGGGCUACUAAACACACAUCCACGGGAUGAAACCACUGUCUCCUGGGGAGGAGCUGAAAGCCAUUCCCUUCUCAGAGCUCUUCUUGAUGCCUCCCUCAGGAGGAACGUGCACCCCUCCUUUGUGCUUCCCUCGCCCCGGCCCCUGUCCCCUGCCUCAGGACAGGCUGAGUCACCUGUGCAGCUCAGCAGUGGACCCUCAGUGACUCUUCUGAUCUCGUCACUUCUGAGAAGAUGGAGGAAUUUCCAUGUCUCUGCCCACAGCAAUCAAAGGAGGCUGCCACCAAGAAAUCAAGGAAACAAAGAGAAGGUAUUCAGCAUUCAUUUUUAAAAUAUAUGUGCGACACCCAUUAGGAUGGCUAUUACUUAACCAAAAAAAACAGAAAUUAGUAAAUGUUGAUGAAGAUGUGGCGAAAUUGGAACCCUCGGGCAUUGCUGGUAGGAAUGUAAAAAGGUUCAGCUGCUGUGGAAAAUAGCAUGGUAGUUCCUCAAAAAAUUAACCAUAGAAUUACCAUAUGAUCCAGCAAUUCCACUUCUGAGUACAUGCCCAAAAGAAGGGAAAGCAAGGUCUCGAAGAGAUAUUUGUAGCCCCUCGUUCACAGCAGCAUUAUUCACAGCAGCCAAAAGGUGGAAGCAACCCAAGUGUCCAUCAAUUGAUGAAUGAAUAAACAAAAUAUGGAUACACAUACAAUGGAAUAUUAUUCAGCUUUGAAAAGGAAAGAAAUUCUGACACAUGCUGCAACGUGGAUAAACCUUGAAAACAUUAUGCUGAGUAUAAUAAGCUGUCAAAAAAG
ensembl:lncRNA